rnacentral:rRNA from 1 species
GCUAACGCGUUAAGUCGACCGCCUGGGGAGUACGGCCGCAAGGUUAAAACUCAAAUGAAUUGACGGGGGCCCGCACAAGCGGUGGAGCAUGUGGUUUAAUUCGAUGCAACGCGAAGAACCUUACCUGGUCUUGACAUCCACGGAAGUUUUCAGAGAUGAGAAUGUGCCUUCGGGAACCGUGAGACAGGUGCUGCAUGGCUGUCGUCAGCUCGUGUUGUGAAAUGUUGGGUUAAGUCCCGCAACGAGCGCAACCCUUAUCCUUUGUUGCCAGCGGUCCGGCCGGGAACUCAAAGGAGACUGCCAGUGAUAAACUGGAGGAAGGUGGGGAUGACGUCAAGUCAUCAUGGCCCUUACGACCAGGGCUACACACGUGCUACAAUGGCGCAUACAAAGAGAAGCGACCUCGCAAGAGCAAGCGGACCUCAUAAAGUGCGUCGUAGUUCGGAUUGGAGUCUGCAACUCGACUCCAUGAAGUCGGAAUCGCUAGUAAUCGUGGAUCAGAAUGCCACGGUGAAUACGUUCCCGGGCCUUGUACACACCGCCCGUCACACCAUGGGAGUGGGUUGCAAAAGAAGUAGGUAGCUUAACCUUCGGGAGGGCGCUUACCACUUUGUGAUUCAUGACUGGGGUGAAGUCGUAACAAGGUAACCGUAGGGGAACCUGCGGUUG